GAAAAAAAGCUGCAAAAAUAGGCGAGUAGUUGUGAACUGUCCUAUGGAACAUCAAAUAUUUAGCUCAUUCAGAGUUAUAGACCAAUGUCUGUUUUCCCUCUCUGGGGGGAAUACUAUAAAAAAAACGAGGGUUUCAGGUUGGGGCGGUCGGGGUGUAAGAGUGAUUUUCCACCCGUGAGAGCGCCUCUUGUGGGUGUGUUGGUUCAUUCCACGCAGAGACUCAUUUGUAGCAAAAUGGCACUCGCUGACCCAUGGAACAUCAAAUAUUUAGCUCAUUUUCAGUAUUUUUAAAACAGCCAAGAAAUAGAAGGUCGGUCGUUGGACAACCACCCAUUGUUUUCAUGGCCGCUAGGCGCUAGGUGACCUUCACUUGCUCUUCCGGUUGGAUCUUAUCAACUCGGAUGGGCUACAACGCCAUAGCUUUCUCCGAACCCUCAAAUGACAGUUGCUAGGGAAUGGUCGUGUCUGCUUGUUCUUUGUUGAUUUCCAACUGACAUUGCGUUCUGUUAUUGCCUUAUAAAUCAAGCCAAAGUAGUUGAGUUAGGGUGUUUCAUUCAGAAAGAAUCAUGGCAGAUGAGGUAAAAAAACCAGAUCUAGCCGUAACAAGUGAACCUCAGCCGGUUAAAGAAGUAACUGUACAGGCAUCUCCUGAACAGACAACCGUCUGUGAAUGUCUUUACUGGCUGGGUCUCUAUUAUGCACUGUGUAACUGCUGGGAACUUUGCGUAGACUGUUGUGUUUGCUGUGCCAACGGCUGCUCCACAUAGUUUGCAGAUUUCUCAGGUAUGGAUAGACAGCCAUUGGAUAUAACAACAGGUGUCUUUUGGAAGAGACUUCUUCUAUUGUUUCCAGUUAAUAGAUUCUAUCUGUGACAUUUCAUUGGAAAAGACAACUCGUUCAGCCAGUGUGAUGAUGCCAAACAGCAUGCACUCUUUCCUUUGCCACAAUUGUUAUAGAUGUUUUAAAAAUUCUUCAUUACUUAUUUCAUGUUUUUACACCAUCUAAAAAAAAGCAAACAAACGAAUUGAAUUUCCGAAAAAUUUUGCAUGUGUUAUAUCUUGGCAUGAAAUAAACAGUUAAAAUUUUUA
rnacentral:lncRNA from 1 species